rnacentral:lncRNA from 1 species
UGUUUUGACAUCGGGAUUAUUUUUGCAGCUGUCAAUUGCAAUGCCCUGAGCUAUUUUAUUUUUCAUGAGCGCUUUUUCAAUGAGACAUUUCUUAUCUGGAAUCAAGUCACAAAAUUCCACAGAAAGCUUUGUUGACCAAGAGAAUUACGUGUGGUUUUUCAUGGUUAUCUUUUUGAGGUGUAUGGAUGAAUCCAAGACUGUAGUAAGAAUCAGUUUAUAACAAAUGAAUGGGUAGCACUGCUGUUACAGUUAAUAUGUAUCAAGUCAGGUAAAAAACUCUGUAGUUCUACCUCUCUGUUGGCCAAUUCAUGAGGUGAAGGGUAUGGAUCAAAGUGUCAGCAGUCUGAGAGUGAAAGAACGUGAAUUCAAAUGAAAAAGCUUUUUAAAAAAUUCCCUGUUAUUACCCUGAAGAGAGAAUUCAUUACUUCUGCUGAUCAUAAGGAAUAAGGACAGAUCAUUAUUUUACCUACCUUACCUUAGUCAGGAGCUUUUUACAUUCUUUUUUUUAUUAAACAUUCCUUAGUCUAUAUAGACUGUGCCCAGAACCUGGAAGCUGAUGGUAGACGACAUAGUUCACAGAAAAACACCUCUUAGGAAGAGCUCAGCCAUGGAGCACCACACCCUGUGUUACUCAGUCAUAGGAUACAUUAAUAUGCAUCAACAUCUGUUUUUAUAACCUUUUUGAAUCAUCCUUUCCCAUACAGGGUUCAGGUUCCAUAAUUCAUUUUUGUGAUCAUAUUUUAGCAGCACUUUACAUCACUUUCCCUAAUGGUUUUUGUAGCGCCUCCUCGCCAGAUGUCAUCUGGGAGCGUUCCUGGCUCUUCUAGAGACAGCAUGAUGAUCUAUCUCCUUGCUGGUGUUGCUGCUUUUGGUGGUUUAUUUUAUGCCUACAGAGUAGUCAGUUCACCCCGCAGCAAGUUUGUUGAAGAUACAAAUAUUCUUCGUGAGAGAGCCGAUGAGCAGAAAAGCAAUCCUUGGUCAAGAAAGGCUUCUGAGGAGGAGAAGACAACUGAAGAGGUUGCUAAAGAGCCCUAAAGUAAGCAGUGUGGACACCUUUGGAAAGUAUAAUGCAAAUAUUUGUGGCAAUCAACCAGCUGAUUCCUGUGUGAAACCUCAUCAUACUCUUCCUUGGAGACAUCGAAGAAACUGUGCAGUUUGUCCUACCACACACUGGCCAUUCUGGCCAGUACUAUCCAGUGCUGCAAGAGAUGAAUUGUGCUGCCUAGAGAAACGCUUCUGUGACUAA